GAACGCACCUUGCGCUUUCGGGUUAUUCCUGGAAGCAUGUUCGUUUGAGUGUCGCGUACCUCUCAACCCCCUUCUUGGCAACAGGAAGCGUUAGGGUUGGAUCAUGUCGGUUCUUGUCUCUUUCUCUGAGAAAGCAGACUCCGUUGAAAUACAACAAGCUUGACGUUGCCUGUCCAAAGCGAGCUUGACCCGUUGUCAUACGUUGUUUACAACAUUUUUCAAUGGGGAUCGCUUUAUUAACCGUGACGGGUCGGAUUAUCAGCUUACCACAAAUUGGUGCCCUAAAAAGCCCACUUUCUACAUUUGACCUCAAAUCGAGCAGGACUACCCCCUGAACUUAAG
rnacentral:misc_RNA from 1 species